AACGUACGCUGGCGGCACGCCUAACACAUGCAAGUCGAACGAAGUAGCAAUACUUAGUGGCAGACGGGUGAGUAACAUGUAGGUAUCUGCCCUUUGGCCUGGAAUAACACGAGGAAACUUGUGCUAAUACCGGAUAAGUCUUUACAGAGAAAGCUUUAUGCACCAUUGGAUGAGCCUGCACUUGAUUAGUUUGUUGGUGGGGUAAUGGCCUACCAAGACUGUGAUCAAUAGCUGAUUUGAGAGGAUGAUCAGCCACAUUGGGACUGAGACACGGCCCAAACUCCUACGGGAGGCAGCAGUGGGGAAUCUUGCACAAUGGAGGAAACUCUGAUGCAGCGAUGCCGCGUGAGUGAAGAAGGCCCUUGGGUUGUAAAGCUCUUUCGUCGGGGAAGAAAAUGACUGUACCCGAAUAAGAAGGUCCGGCUAACUUCGUGCCAGCAGCCGCGGUAAUACGAAGGGACCUAGCGUAGUUCGGAAUUACUGGGCUUAAAGAGUUCGUAGGUGGUUGAAAAAGUUAGUGGUGAAAUCCCAGAGCUUAACUCUGGAACUGCCAUUAAAACUUUUCAGCUAGAGUAUGAUAGAGGAAAGCAGAAUUUCUAGUGUAGAGGUGAAAUUCGUAGAUAUUAGAAAGAAUACCAAUUGCGAAGGCAGCUUUCUGGAUCAUUACUGACACUGAGGAACGAAAGCAUGGGUAGCGAAGAGGAUUAGAUACCCUCGUAGUCCAUGCCGUAAACGAUGUGUGUUAGACGUUGGAAAUUUAUUUUCAGUGUCGCAGCGAAAGCGAUAAACACACCGCCUGGGGAGUACGACCGCAAGGUUAAAACUCAAAUGAAUUGACGGGGACCCGCACAAGUAGUGGAGCAUGUGGUUUAAUUCGAAGAUACGCGCAGAACCUUACCAGCACUUGACAUGUUCGUCGCGACUCUAAGAGAUUAGAGUUUUCGGUUCGGCCGGACGAAACACAGGUGCUGCAUGGCUGUCGUCAGCUCGUGUCGUGAGAUGUUGGGUUAAGUCCCGCAACGAGCGCAACCCUCACUUUUAGUUGCCAUCAUUAAGUUGGGCACUCUGAAAGAACUGCCAGUGAUAAGCUGGAGGAAGGUGGGGAUGACGUCAAGUCCUCAUGGCCCUUACGUGUUGGGCUACACACGUGCUACAAUGGUAUCUACAACAGGAAGCAAGACUGCGAAGUUAAGCAAAUCCCUAAAAGAUACCUCAGUUCGGAUUGCACUCUGCAACUCGAGUGCAUGAAGCUGGAAUUACUAGUAAUCGUGGAUCAGCGUGCCACGGUGAAUGCGUUCCCGGGUCU
rnacentral:rRNA from 1 species